GACGAACGCUGGCGGCGUGCCUAAUACAUGCAAGUUGAGCGCUGAAGGUUGGUACUUGUACCAACUGGAUGAGCAGCGAACGGGUGAGUAACGCGUGGGGAAUCUGCCUUUGAGCGGGGGACAACAUUUGGAAACGAACGCUAAUACCGCAUAAAAACUUUAAACACAAGUUUUAAGUUUGAAAGAUGCAAUUGCAUCACUCAAAGAUGAUCCCGCGUUGUAUUAGCUAGUUGGUGAGGUAAAGGCUCACCAAGGCGAUGAUACAUAGCCGACCUGAGAGGGUGAUCGGCCACAUUGGGACUGAGACACGGCCCAAACUCCUACGGGAGGCAGCAGUAGGGAAUCUUCGACAAUGGACGAAAGUCUGACCGAGCAACGCCGCGUGAGUGAAGAAGGUUUUCGGAUCGUAAAACUCUGUUGGUAGAGAAGAACGUUGGUGAGAGUGGAAAGCUCAUCAAGUGACGGUAACUACCCAGAAAGGGACGGCUAACUACGUG
rnacentral:rRNA from 1 species